AUGGAUUGGAACCCACAUGUACUCUCUUGGAAUGUGAGGGGCCUUAAUAACCCUGCAAAAAGAAAUGUGGUUAGGGAGUUUGUAAUAGAUGCGAAGGUGAACUUGGUGUGUCUUCUAGAGACGAAGCUAGAUGUACUCGAUAAAUAUUUGGUGAUGCAAUGCAUUGGGCCAUCUUUUGAUGGCUUUGCUUAUCUGUCGGCGAUCGAUACGAGGGGUGGUAUUUUGCUUGCUUGGGAUAGUUCAUACAUGGAGAUAGACAAUCUAGUCUGGGACUCAAACUUCCUCAUGGGGCACGUGUGUAACAAAGAUGGAUGGGAUUGGUGGUUAUCCGUGGUGUAUGCCCCCCAAGGGGAU
rnacentral:rRNA from 1 species